rnacentral:rRNA from 1 species
UACGGAGGGUGCAAGCGUUGUCCGGAUUUAUUGGGUUUAAAGGGUGCGUAGGCGGCCCGUUAAGUCAGCGGUGAAAUCCCGGGGCUCAACCCCGGAACUGCCGUUGAUACUGGCGGGCUUGAGUUCGGUGAAGGCGGGCGGAACUGGCGGUGUAGCGGUGAAAUGCUUAGAUACCGCCAAGAACCCCGAUUGCGUAGGCAGCUCGCUGUGCCGAAACUGACGCUGAGGCACGAAAGCGUGGGGAGCGAACAGG